UCAUAUGCCUAAGGAUCAGAAGCCCAAGAAUCAGAGUCCGAAACUUCUCAGAGAGAUUUCAUUUUCCUUACAAGAUGAAGAUCUAUUCACCAAGAAGAGUCUGUUAUUCAACUGGACAGAGAACUCCUCUCCUGGAUGGCAAUAAGCUGAAGGAAGAUGUUGAAUGAAUAACCCAGGCCAAAGCUAUCAGCAGGUUUCUGUCAAAUAAAUAGAUCAUCCUUCGUACCCCAGAAAGCUGUCAGGCUCAAUACUUUGCAACCAUCUGUGCAUCCUUCUU